UUGAACGCUGGCGGCAUGCUUUACACAUGCAAGUCGAACGGUAACAGGCCGCGAGGUGCUGACGAGUGGCGAACGGGUGAGUAAUGCAUCGGAACGUGCCCAGUCGUGGGGGAUAACUACUCGAAAGAGUAGCUAAUACCGCAUACGAUCUAUGGAUGAAAGCGGGGGACCGUAAGGCCUCGCGCGAUUGGAGCGGCCGAUGUCAGAUUAGGUAGUUGGUGGGGUAAAGGCUCACCAAGCCAACGAUCUGUAGCUGGUCUGAGAGGACGACCAGCCACACUGGGACUGAGACACGGCCCAGACUCCUACGGGAGGCAGCAGUGGGGAAUUUUGGACAAUGGGCGCAAGCCUGAUCCAGCAAUGCCGCGUGCAGGAAGAAGGCCUUCGGGUUGUAAACUGCUUUUGUACGGAACGAAACGGCUCUGGUUAAUACCCGGGGCUAAUGACGGUACCGUAAGAAUAAGCACCGGCUAACUACGUG
rnacentral:rRNA from 1 species